rnacentral:rRNA from 1 species
UGGGCGCAAAGUACUGCACCCGGAUGAGUCUAUAUUCUCCCCUGGCCUGGUGGCCUUCCCCUUCCCCUUUCUUCCUCCUCUGACUCUCCUCCCCCUCCUUUCCCCACCCGUACCACCGCCGAGCCGACUCCAACUCCGGCCGCCCCGCCUCACAAGCACCACCAUGGAAGGUCCAAGCUAGUUGACAUAACAUGACUGCAGAGAGUUAUUAUAUACCGUUACAUAUCUUAAAAGAGAUUACAAAUGGAUUCUCAGCGGACUCAAGAAUAGGAAGGGGUGGAUACGGAGACGUUUACAAGGGAGUUUACAAUAGGAGAGAGGUUGCUGUAAAGUUGCUUCAUGUUGAUACGUUGCUAGGACUUGAUGACCAACGAUAUAUCAAUGAAGUUGGUAACCUUUUGAAGGUUAAGCAUCCAAAUAUCAUACAGUUACUUGGUUAUUGUUAUGAAAUACAGAAUGAACUAAUUGAACACAAUGGUGCAAAUCAAUUUAGCCAACACAUAUAUAGAGUCCUCUGCUUUGAGUACUUGCAGGGUGGAAGCCUAGACAAGCAUCUUUGUGGUAUGAGAACUUAACUUCAACAAGAUGAUUUUCUUAUGCGUUUAAGAAAAACUGAAUUCGUAAACUUUCAUUUGUGUAAUAUUCUCUUUGUCAGCACAAUCUUUUGCACCUAAUUGGAGCACACGUUACAAUAUUAUAAAGGGGAUUUGUGAAGGUUUAAAUUUCCUUCAUGAAUGCAAACCACAAAUUUGUCAUCUUGAUUUGAAGCCUGCCAAUAUAUUACUAGACAGUUCCAUGGAGCCUAAAGUGGCGGAUUUUGGAUUGUCAAGGCUAUUCACUCCAUCACACACACAUAUCACAGAAAGAAUCAUAGGAACCCGGAAGUACAUGCCACCAGAAUUCCUAAAUGAAGGCAAAAUCUCACCUAAGAAUGACGUCUUCGGUUUCGGUGUUGUAAUGAUCGAGAUAAUGGCAGGACCUGCAGGUUACUCCAAUUCUUUUGAAAUGCAUGAUGUGGCACAAUUAAUGCAGCAGGUACUUACCAAUUGUACAAUGAUUGAAGCCACAUCGAAUAACCGAUCAGAGGAAUUACGUCAGGUGAAAACGUGUAUUGAAUUAGCAAUGCGUUGUGUGGAUUCUGAAAGAGACAAUAGGCCCUCUGUAGCAGAUAUCCUAGAUACCCUGAAUAAGACAGAAACUCAUAUUCCCAAGAGACAGCAUUGCCCUCAAAUCAGUGUUCCCGGGCUGGAGAGGGCCAAGAAGAGGAAGAAGACGGGAGGGAACUUGAAGGGGAUUGCAGAAGAACGUACCCAUUUCACUGUCAUGCAAGAAAAUGCCCCUAGUAUGCUUGAAAACAGGGAUCACCGGGAAACAUCAGCAAAGAUAGGAGCAGAAGUCGUAGGGAGGGACAUGGAAAAACAGGAAAUUAUGGCUCAUUUAUCUGGGAGUACCACACAAGAGAUCACCUUCCUUCCGAUAUAUGGUAUUGGAGGCAUUGGGAAGACAACCAUGGCACAAUUUGUUUUCAAUGAUUCCCAGUUCAAAGAGUACUCUCGGGUUUGGACCUAUGUGUCCCAGACAUUUGAUUUAAAGAAAAUUGGGAAUUCUAUAAUAACACAACUAUCCGGUAGCAAGAGUAUGCAUACUGACCUUCAGAUGAUAGAAAAUAGCCUGCAAAAGCUCCUUUCUGGUAAGAGGGUUCUAAUCAUCUUAGAUGACCUGUGGGAGAGGGAAUCACCUCAGUUAAAAAAGUUGGAGAGUAUGCUAAAUCUGGGUGAAGGGGGCAAAUUGGUGGUGGUAGUAACCACACGAGAAGAAUCUAUUGCACAUAAAAUUCACACUGGCAGAGUGAAGCCAUAUAAGCUAGCUCCCUUAACAGAUGAAAUUUGUUGGACUAUCAUAAAAAAUAAAAGUUCAUUUGAAAACAGAGCUGAAAGAGCGCAGUUAGAGUUGAUCGGAAAGGAAAUUGCAAAGAAGUGUGGAGGUGUGGCUUUAGCAGCCCAAUCUAUUGGGUAUGUGUUGUAUGCUAUGGAAUUUGAUGAAUGGGUGUCGGUGAACAACAGUGAGAUCUGGGACGUGCUUGCCUCAGGAGAAUCAACUCAUCAUGUUCAUGCAUCCUUGCUGCUAAGCUAUCACAUUAUGGAUAAAUACUUGAAGUUAUGCUUUGCUUAUUGUGCAACCUUUCCAAAAGGUCACAAGAUAGCUAAAGAAGAUCUAGCUCACCAAUGGGUUGCUCUUGGACUUGUUGAGCCAUCAAGGACAUUCUCUAAUAUACAAACCAGUCAUAAAUAUAUUCGUCAUCUUUUUGGCAUGUGCUUCCUUGAACAUCCAAGGUCACAAUGGAGUUAUAUGGAUGUCGAUAAUGGAUUCUUGAUCAUGCAUGACCUGGUGCACGAUCUCGGAAGAUCAUUUCUGGCUGAUAAAAUUAUUAUAGAGAGUCCUGCCUGCCAAUAUGCAUGGCUGACAGAUCAUAGAAAGCUAUUUAAGUCAUCAAUGAAUCCACUCGCCAAGCUAUUUAUGUCAUCAAUGAAUCCACUCGCCAAGCUAUUUAAGUCAUCAAUGACUCCACUCGCCAAGAUAAGGGCACUGCAUUUUCUCGACCGUGCUUACUUGCAGCUUAAUGGUGAAGCUUUUUCACCGGCUAAAUGCCUCCUUGUCUUGGAUUUAAGCAGAUGUUGUGCACAAAAGCUGCCUGAUUCUAUUGGUCAACUGAAACAGUUGAGGUAUCUCGAUGCUUCAUGGAACCCCGAGUUUACUGAAUCUUCUGAAUACCAAGCACCACCGGAGUCUUUAUUGAUACCGAAAGCCCUGGGUUCCCUUAAUGAACUCCAAUAUUUGAAUUUAUCAGGUCGCGGAAGACCCAUAGGGCUGCCAGAGGUCAUCAGCGAACUCACGGACCUCCGGUAUUUGAAUAUAUCACAUUGCAUGGGUUAUUAUUUAUUGGACAUCCCAUCAGCAAACCAAAGUUUCAUUGACUGUAUCGGUACCCUUCCUAAUCUAGAGCAGCUGGACAUGUCUUCUAAUAACUAUGGUUUCUGUGUACCUGAAAGUUUCAGCAGACUCAAGAAGCUGAACCUCUCCGACUGCCAGUACAUUGCUAGCCUUCCAGAAAAUGUGGGGAAAGUGGAUAUUCCAAUGCUUUUUGGCUUGUUGUUCCCGCAAAAGGGAGGGUUUCCUGUGCGUGUGGUUGAUAGUGAAUCUAGCAGCAGUCUUGUCUGGCUUAAGCAUACAAAUCCUGAUGUGUUGGGUAUCACUGAUACUUGAAAAUGUGAGGUCCGUGGAAGAGGCACGCAGUAUAAGAUUGAUAGAAAAACAGAGAAUUAAAGAAUUGUCGUUGCAGUGGAGCGGAGGUGUGAGUUCUGUGGAACACAUGGAGUUGCUAACAGAGCUAGUGCCACCAAGCUCUGUAAAGAAUUUCAAGAUAACACGUUACAAGGAUGUCAUGUUUCCACACUGGUUUAUGCAUAUAAACAAAGAUCUUCCUAAUCUUGUGAGUUUGGAGAUGUGGGGUGUUCUUUGCCGCAGCCUACCAACAACACUCGUCCCACUACCCAACCUAAGAAAGAUUGUUCUCAGCAACAUGCAUAACCUGGAAGAGUUCAACACAGCAUGCUCUAUAGGCGAGGAUGGUGCAAAUGAGCUCACGUUGGCUAAACUUGAGUAUCUGGAAAUAGACAAUUGCCCCAAGUUGAGGAUUAAACCGUGUCCGCCUAGAUCAGUGUACUGGCGUAUAUCUCGUGCUGACAAUGUGCUAUUGUCAUGGGGAGAGUGUGCCUCAAGCACAGCUGCUUCCUCCUCAUCUUCUUCUGUGAGUAAGCUAGAAGUUGAAUACUCUGAGUUGCCUUUGCACCAGUGGAGAUUGCUUCACCACCUACAUGGUCUUAGUGAUUUAACUAUCUCCGAUUGCAAUGAUCUGACCAUCUCACCACAGAUCACCCGAGCGUUCACCUCCCUCGAAUCACUGGAAUUUCGUAGCCUGGAAAAAUUACCAGAGUGGUUAGGGGAGCUCACAUCUCUUCGGCAGCUUAACUUAAUAUUCAUCCACCACCUACAGGAAUUGCAUGAGAACACGAGGCAGCUUAGACAGCUGCAAUCGCUCCGCCUGCACUUUUGCAAUACGUCGACAUCACCACCGCAAUGGUUAGGAGAACUCACCUUGCUCAAGACACUUAAAAUCACUUAUUGCAAGGGCAUCAUUUCUUUACCGGAGCGCAUACUCACCAACCUCCAAGAACUUUAUAUUUCGAACUGCCCUGAAUUAUAUAGAUGGUGUAAGUUAGAAGAGAACCGGAUGAAACUAGCUCACAUCAAGGAAAAGUCUAUCUAGGAACAUUCGGCUCGAGGCAUUUGGGAAACACUUUAAUGAGAUGAUAAGUAUGAUUUAGCAUCUCCUGUAUGCGAUCCAGAUGGAUAUUGACGAUCGAGGAUGGUGGUCCUUGGAGCUCUUCUGACGCCCCAGGUGGAGACCUUCACUUAGAAUUACAGCGCUUUGAUGAUCUUCAAUUGCAUGUUUUGUUGCCUUUUAUUUCCAUGUGUUUUUAUUUACUUCGGGCACCGAUUGUUUGAAUACUUUACUUUAUUUCCCCUUUCGUAUUGCGUGGCUAAAUAACUUUUGCGUUGUGGGGCUAAAUCACCCUCUAAUAAUUUCAUGAUUGUGUGCAUCACGAGGAAUGUGGUAGCACCCAAACAGGUUGUAGCAAUAUAACUGUUCUUUACAUACUAUGCUUUGGCGGCGCCGCUGUUGGGGCAGCCUCCAUGUUUUGCGAUUAGCAGCAAAUUCAGUGCAUAUAGGUGUCCCUCCAGCUAAGAUGGGCAUAGGUUUCAAGUCCAUUGUUCUGUCCCGGACCAUGAGGUUGCUAUCAUCGAUCUUCCUCCAUCAAGAGGAGGCCAAGAGGGUGAAUGCCGAGAUACCGUGUUUUAGAUCUGUGUGUCUUGCCCUUGCUGAAACACGAAUAAAUGUCAGAGAUAGGUAUAGCCAUUUGUUUGACUUGAUCAGC